CAGGCAGAGAGCGUGAGCCGGGAAUGGAAAGACCGGUACAAGCGAGGUAGGAGAAGAGUUGGCAAAUCCGCUCUUUAAUCUGAAGACGUGAUGUGGACUGAAAAUAAGUAGGGAAGCACGUGAGCUGACUGUCAAGAAAAGCCGCUAUUGUUUGCAGGAUACCCGUACCGUAAACCGACACAGGUGGAUGAGGAGAGAAUCCUAAGGCCGACGGGAGAAGCAUUGUUAAGGAACUCGGCAAAAUGACUCCGUAACUUCGGGAGAAGGAGUGCCAGUAAGAUGGCCGCAGAGAAUUGGCCCAAGCAACUGUUUAGCAAAAACACAGGUCUAUGCAAAACCGAAAGGUGAGGUAUAUGGGCUGACGCCUGCCCGGUGCUGGAAGGUUAAGGGGAGAGGUUAGCGCAAGCGAAGCUUUGAACUUAAGCCCCAGUAAACGGCGGCCGUAACUAUAACGGUCCUAAGGUAGCGAAAUUCCUUGUCGGGUAAGUUCCGACCCGCACGAAAGGCGUAAUGAUUUGGGCACUGUCUCAACAAUGCACCCGGUGAAAUUGAAAUACCAGUGAAGAUGCUGGUUACCUGCGCCAGGACGGAAAGACCCCAUGGAGCUUUACUCCAGCUUGAUACUGGGAUUCGGUAUUGCAUGUACAGGAUAGGUGGGAGGCUAGGAAAUGGUAACGCCAGUUGCCAUGGAGCCGCUGUUGGGAUACCACCCUUGCAGUACUGGGUUUCUAACCAGCAGCCGUGAUCCGGCUGGGGGACAAUGUCAGGUGGGGAGUUUGACUGGGGCGGUCGCCUCCGAAAGGGUAUCGGAGGCGCUCAAAGGUUCCCUCAGAAUGGUUGGAAACCAUUCGAAGAGUGCAAAGGCAGAAGGGAGCUUGACUGCGACACCGACGGGUGGAGCAGGUACGAAAGUAGGACUUAGUGAUCCGGUGGUAUAAAGUGGGAUUGCCAUCGCUCAACGGAUAAAAGCUACCCUGGGGAUAACAGGCUUAUCACUCCCAAGAGUUCACAUCGACGGAGUGGUUUGGCACCUCGAUGUCGGCUCAUCGCAUCCUGGGGCUGAAGUAGGUCCCAAGGGUUGGGCUGUUCGCCCAUUAAAGCGGUACGCGAGCUGGGUUCAGAACGUCGUGAGACAGUUCGGUCCCUAUCCGGCGUGGGCGUAAGAUAUUUGAGAGGAGCUGUCCUUAGUACGAGAGGACCGGGAUGGACUGGCCGCUGGUGUAUCUGUUGUCUUACCAAAGGCAUAGCAGAGUAGCCAAGCCGGGAAGGGAUAAACGCUGAAGGCAUCUAAGCGUGAAGCCCCCCUCAAGAUGAGAUAUCUCAUAACGUCAAGUUAGUAAGACCCCUUGAAGACGACGAGGUAGAUAGGGCAGAGGUGGAAGUGUGGUAACACAUGGAGCUGACUGUUACUAAUAGGUCGAGGGCAUAACCAA
rnacentral:rRNA from 1 species